rnacentral:tRNA from 1 species
GGCUCGGUAGCUCAGUUGGUAGAGCAACGGAUUGAAGCUCCGUGUGUCGGCGGUCCGAUUCCGUCCCGCGCCA